ACAAAUGGUUUUGUGGCAAGUAAAAAUAAUAUUUUUAUAAAUUGAUUGUAAUGUAUUAAUUUGUUACAGAAAAGAAAGCAAUCAUGCAAGGAUGCAAGCUGAAGGAAAGGACAACUCUCACAUCAGUGCAUUACUAAUUGUUUGACUUCAUCAUCAAGCACACCAGCUCAGAUUGUGAUGGACCUGGCAUGCAACACCAGUUACUCUUAAGUCAAGAACCAAAUGAAGCACCAGAGUACAGAUUAUGGAGGUAUAUGAAGUUGAACUAACUGGAAGCAGGGAACCAUACUAAUAAAGUUCCUUAAGGUUCCUUGUAAAGAUGAACCCAGGGAAGGAUCGAAAGUGGAGAAGACCAGAUCAAGAAAGACCACAUCAAGAUCUGCGGUCAGUUCAAAGGUACUUUCACUAAUUACCAAGAUUUCAGACUAUGAAUUGAUGGAGUAAACUUUGAGUGUCAGAUCUUCCUACAUCGCCUAGCAAAAAUUCUUCCCAGUGUCUUGUAGUAGAAGUGAUGCAGUCAAUCAAGUUUACAUUAUUUCGUAAAUAGGUUUCCGAUUUAAUAAAAAUAUAAUAACCAAACUUGAUUAAUGUAACAAUUUUGAUGAAAAGGGCAUUUUUUACUAAAGCUUUUAGCACAAAGGCACCCCCGUCUUGUAAUAUUGCUGUGUCUGACGUCACGGGGUUGGUAUGCUGGAAACGUUUUUGAAUGAGGUAUUUGUAUGAUUUAUACAUAGUCUGUCUUAAAGCGUCACUAAAUUGUACAGGCAUUACAGGUCAAAGCAAUCUGUUGUUACAUUUAUCAAAAUAAACAAUAAGGCUCUUAAAACACUGC